GAUGAACGCUGGCGGCGUGCCUAAUACAUGCAAGUCGAGCGAACAGACGAGGAGCUUGCUCCUCUGACGUUAGCGGCGGACGGGUGAGUAACACGUGGAUAACCUACCUAUAAGACUGGGAUAACUUCGGGAAACCGGAGCUAAUACCGGAUAAUAUAUUGAACCGCAUGGUUCAAUAGUGAAAGACGGUUUUGCUGUCACUUAUAGAUGGAUCCGCGCCGCAUUAGCUAGUUGGUAAGGUAACGGCUUACCAAGGCAACGAUGCGUAGCCGACCUGAGAGGGUGAUCGGCCACACUGGAACUGAGACACGGUCCAGACUCCUACGGGAGGCAGCAGGAGGGAAUCUUCCGCAAUGGGCGAAAGCCUGACGGAGCAGCGCCGCGUGAGUGAUGAAGGUCUUCGGAUCGUAAAACUCUGUUAUUAGGGAAGAACAAAUGUGUAAGUAACUAUGCACGUCUUGACGGUACCUAAUCAGAAAGCCACGGCUAACUACGUG
rnacentral:rRNA from 1 species